AGCAGUAGUUGCAUUGUUCAGCCUGAUCGCUUUGGUUGUCAUCGUACAUUCACAACCACUAAGUGAAGGAUCACUGAAAGCCGACCAGACCCCUAAUGCUUUCAAUGGAGAAGUAUCUUUUGACACUGUUGAUAGCUCCAAUACCAAUGAAUUAAAGAAUCCCACCCGAGUGAAAAGAUGUCUUGCAAGGCUUUUU